UACGUAGGGUGCGAGCGUUAAUCGGAAUUACUGGGCGUAAAGCGUGCGCAGGCGGUUGUGCAAGACAGAUGUGAAAUCCCCGGGCUCAACCUGGGAACUGCAUUUGUGACUGCACGGCUGGAGUGCGGCAGAGGGGGAUGGAAUUCCGCGUGUAGCAGUGAAAUGCGUAGAUAUGCGGAGGAACACCGAUGGCGAAGGCAAUCCCCUGGACCUGCACUGACGCUCAUGCACGAAAGCGUGGGGAGCAAACAGG
rnacentral:rRNA from 1 species